rnacentral:rRNA from 1 species
CGAAUGGGGAAACCCAGUGUGAUUCGUCACACUAUCAUUAACUGAAUCCAUAGGUUAAUGAGGCGAACCGGGGGAACUGAAACAUCUAAGUACCCCGAGGAAAAGAAAUCAACCGAGAUUCCCCCAGUAGCGGCGAGCGAACGGGGAGGAGCCCAGAGCCUGAAUCAGCAUGUGUGUUAGUGGAAGCGUCUGGAAAGGCGCGCGAUACAGGGUGACAGCCCCGUACACAAAAGCGCAUGUGCUGUGAGCUCGAUGAGUAGGGCGGGACACGUGGUAUCCUGUCUGAAUAUGGGGGGACCAUCCUCCAAGGCUAAAUACUCCUGACUGACCGAUAGUGAACCAGUACCGUGAGGGAAAGGCGAAAAGAACCCCGGCGAGGGGAGUGAAAAAGAACCUGAAACCGU